rnacentral:tRNA from 1 species
GGAGAGGUGGCUGAGUGGCUUAAAGCAGUGGUUUGCUAAACCGCCGUACCCUUAUAAGGGGUACCGGGGGUUCGAAUCCCCCCCUCUCCGCCA